AAAAAAAAUCCCUACCUUGUAUAUCAAUAUACUUAUAUCUAUCUAUCUAUCUAUCAUCUAUCUAUCUAUCUAUCUAUCUAUCUAUCUAUCUAUCUAUCUAUCUAAUCUAUCUAAAACUAUGAGUAAAACCAAAUAGGUAACCAAAUUUAACACUACUUUAAUGGAUAAUGUUAUUUGAUGCUGAAAAGUUUUAAUCCUGGUGUUCGUGAGAGAAGCCUUAGCGAAACUACAGGAUUGUCUCCAGUGAUGUGUCAUUUUACAAAGCCCACACUAGAUGGCAGAUUUCAAAUAGGAUUUUCUGGGUCACAAAUUAGGAAAAAAUGGCCAGUUGAAGUGGCUCUCGCCUGUGAUCCCAGCACUUUAGGAGGCCCAGGGGUGAUCCACCCUGAUCACCUGAGGUUAGGAGUUCAAAACCAGCCUUGCCAACGUGGUGAAAACCCAUCUCUACUAAAAAUACAAAAUUUAGGCUGGGUAUGGUGGCUCACGCCUAUAAUCCAGCAUUUUGGGAGGCCAAGGUGGGCGGAUCGCCUGAGGUCAAAAGUUCAAGACCAGCCUGACCAACAGGAUGAAACCCUCGUCUUAAAAUAAAAUAAAAUAAAAUAAAAACACAAAACUUAGAUUGGCAUUGUUGUGGGCUCCUGUAAUCCCAGACACUCAGGAGGCUGAGACAGAAUCGUUUGAACCCAGGAGGUGGAGGUAGCAGUGAGUAGAGAUCGCACCACUGCACUCCAGCUCAGGUGAUGGAGUGAGACUCUGUCUCGAAAUAAUAAUAAUGCCGAGACCGCGUCUACCCCACAAACACAGAGCCUCGCCCUUGCCGUUCAGUCUCCCAUCCACACCCGCCAGCUCACCAUGGAUGAUGAUAUCGCUGCACUUGUUGUCGACAAUGGCUCCGGCAUGUGCAAGUCCAGCUUCGCAGGCGAUGAUGCUCCCCGGGCCGUCUUCCCCUCCAUCGUGGGGCGCCCCAGGCACCAGUGCAUGAUGGUGGGCAUGGAUCAGAAGGACUCCUAUAUGGGUGAUGAGGCCCAGAGCAAGAGAGGCAUCCUGACCCUGAAGUACCUCAUCGAGCACGGCAUUGUCACCAACUGGGAUGACAUGGAAAAGAUCUGGUACCACACUUUCUACAACGAGCUGUGUGUGGCUCCUGAGGAGCACCCCAUGCUGCCUGAACCCCAAGGCCAACCGUGAGAUUACCCAGAUCAUGUUUGAGACCUUCAACACCCCAGCCAUGUAUGUGGCCAUCCAGGCUAUGCUUUCCUUGUACGCCUCUGGCCAUACCACUGGCAUCAUGAUGGACUCUGGUGACGGGGUCACCCCCAUUGUGCCUGUCUAUGAGGGGUAUGCCCUCCCCUAUGCCAUCCUGUGUCUGGACCUGGCUGGCCGGGACCUGACUGACUACCUCAUGAAGAUCCUCACCAAGCAUGGCUACAGCUUCACCACCACAGCUGAGCAGGAAAUCAUGCAUGACAUCAAGGAAAAGCUAUGCUACAUUGCCCUGGACUUCAAACAGGAGAUGGCCACGGGAGCCUCCAGCUCCUCCCUGGAGAAGACCUAUGAGCUGCCCGAUGGUCAAGUCAUCACCAUCGGCAAUGAGAGGUUCCGCUGCCCUGAGGUGCUCUUCCAGCCUUCUUUCCUGGGCAUGGAAUCUUGUGGAAACCAUGAAACUACCUUUAACUCCACCAUGAAAUAUGACGUGGACAUCCGCAAAGACCUGUAUGCCAACACAGUGCUGUCUGGCGGUACUACCAUGUACCCUGGCAUCGCUGACAGGAUGCAGAAGGAGAUCACCACCCUGGCACCCAGCACGAUGAAGAUCAAGAUCAUUGCUUCUCCCGAGCGCAAGUUCUCCGUGUGGAUGGGUGGCUCCAUCCUGGCCUCGCUGUCCACCUUCCAGCAGAUGUGAAUCAGCAAGCAGGAGUAUGAGUCCGGCCCCUCCGUCAUCCACCGCAAAUGCUUCUAGGCAGACUGUGACCGAGUUGCAUUACACCCUCUUUUGACAAAACCUAACUUGUGCAGAAAACAAGAUGAGAUUGGCAUGGCUUUAUUUGUUUAUUUGUUUUGUUUUGGUUUGGUUUUUUUUUUGGCUUGACUCAGGAUUUUAAAACUGGAACGGUGAAGGUGACAGCAGUCAGUUGGAGCGAGCAUCCCCCAAAGUUCUACAAUGUGGCUGAGGACUUGACUGUACAUUAUUUUCUUUAAGUCAUUCCAAGUAUCGUGAGAUGUACUGUUACAGGAAGUCCCUUGCCCUCCCAAAAGCCACCCCAUUUCUCUCUAAGGAGAAUGGCCCAGUCCUCUCCCGAGUCCACACAGGGGAGGUAACAGCAUUGCUUUUAUUGUAAACUAUGUAAUGAAAAAAUUUUUAAGUUUCACCUUAAUACCUUAUUUUGUUUUAUUUUGAAAGAUUUUAGCCUCUGGCCACCUCUUUUUUUGUCCCUCAACUUGAGAUGUACGAAGGCUUUUGGUCUCCCCGGGAGUGGGUGGAGACAGCCGGGCUUACCUGUACACUGACUUGAGACCAACUGAAUAAAGUGCACUCCUUAAAAAAUAAUAAUAAUAAUUAGGGGAAAAUUUAUAUAUGUAUACACACACACACACAAAGGAAAAAAUCCGGGUGUGGAGGCUUACUCCUGUAAUCCCAGCACUUUGGGAGGCUGAGGUGGGAGAAUAGAUUGAUUCCAGGAGUUCAAGACCAGCCUGGGCAACAUGGGGAA